rnacentral:rRNA from 1 species
GACGAACGCUGGCGGCGUGCUUAACACAUGCAAGUCGAACGGAAAGGCCCUGCUUGCAGGGUACUCGAGUGGCGAACGGGUGAGUAACACGUGGGUGAUCUGCCCUGCACUUCGGGAUAAGCCUUGGAAACUGGUUCUACUACCUGAUAGGAGCCAUUUUUAGUGUGAUGGUUGGAAGGUUUUUUCGGUGUAGGAUGAGCUCGCGGCCUAUAGGCUUGUUGGUGGGGUAAUGGCCUACCAAGGCGGCGACGGGUAGCCGGCCUGAGAGGGUGGACGGCCACCUUGGGGCUGAGGUGCGGCACAGACGCCUACGGGAGGCAACAGGGGGGAAUAUUGCACCAUGGGCGCCAGCCUGAUGCAGAGACGCCGCGUGGGGGAUGACGGCCUUCGGGUUGUAAAAUCCUUUCGCUAGGGACGAAGCGUUUUGUGACGGUACCUAGAUAAGAAGCACCGGCUAACUACGUG